UUGAAAUUUCGGGGUUAGUAGGUUGGUCAUGCCUCUGGUAUGUACUGGUCUCACUGAUUCCUCCUUCCUGAUGAACCGUAAUGCCAUUAAUUUGGUGUUGCGGGGAAUUUGGACUGUUACUUUGAAAAAAUUAGAGUGUCUAAAGCAAGCUAACGCUUGAAUACAUUAGCAUGGAAUAAUGAAAUAGGACGUUACGAACCUAUUUUGUUGGUUUCUAGGAUUGACGUAAUGAUUAAUAGGGAUAGUUGGGGGCAUUAGUAUUCAAUUGUCAGAGGUGAAAUUCUUGGAUUUAUUGAAGACUAACUACUGCGAAAGCAUUUGCCAAGGAUGUUUUCAUUAAUCAAGAACGAAAGUUAGGGGAUCGAAGACGAUCAGAUACCGUCGUAGUCUUAACCAUAAACUAUGCCGACUAGGGAUCGGAUGAUGUUAAUUUUUAAUGACUC
rnacentral:rRNA from 1 species